GGUCUUGUAGAUGUAAUUAGGCUGUUUGGCUUCAUCGGUAGUCUUAUAGUAGUAAUUUGACUGUUUGGCUUCACCGACGGUCUUGUAGAUGUAACUGGGUUGUUUGGCCUCAUCGACAGUCUUAUGGUUGUAAUUGGACUGUUUGGUUUCAUCGACAGUCUUGUAGUUGUAAUUGAGUUGUUUGGUUUCAUCGGUGGUCUUGUAGAUGUAAUUGGGUUGUUUGGUCUUAUCAGUGGUCUUAUAGAUGUAACUGGGUUGUUUGACCUCAUCAGCAGUCUUGUAUAUGUAACUGGGUUGUUUAGCCUCAUCGAUGGUGUUGUAGGUGUAACUUGGUUGUUCUGUCUCGUUGGCGGUCUUGUAGAUGUAAUUGGGUUGUUUGGCCUCAUCGGCGGUCUUGUAGAUGUAACUGGGUUGUUUGGCCUCAUCAGCGGUCUUGUAGAUGUAACUGGGUUGUUUGGGCUCAUCGAUGGUCUUGUAGGUGUAACUUGGUUGUUCUAUCUCGUUAGCGGUCUUGUAGAUGUAACUGGGUUGUUUGGCCUCAUCGGNNN
rnacentral:lncRNA from 1 species